GGGUUAAGUCCCGCAACGAGCGCAACCCCUAUCCUUAGUUGCUAGCAGGUAAUGCUGAGAACUCUAAGGAGACUGCCGGUGAUAAACCGGAGGAAGGUGGGGACGACGUCAAGUCAUCAUGGCCCUUACGUGUAGGGCUACACACGUGCUACAAUGGCGCAUACAGAGUGCUGCGAACUCGCGAGAGUAAGCGAAUCACUUAAAGUGCGUCGUAGUCCGGAUUGGAGUCUGCAACUCGACUCCCAUGAAGUCGGAAUCGCCUAGUAAUCGC
rnacentral:rRNA from 1 species